rnacentral:rRNA from 1 species
CAGUCGCCACGGUAAUACGGAGGGUGCAAGCGUUAAUCGGAAUUACUGGGCGUAAAGCGUGCGUAGGCGGUUCGUUAAGUCUGUUGUGAAAGCCCCGGGCUCAACCUGGGAAUGGCAAUGGAUACUGGCGAGCUAGAGUGUGUCAGAGGAUGGUGGAAUUCCCGGUGUAGCGGUGAAAUGCGUAGAGAUCGGAAGGAACGCCCGUGGCGAAAGCGAGUCCCUGGACCCUUACUGACGCUGAGACGCGAAAGCCAGGGGAGCGAACAGGAUUAGAUACCCCCGUAGUCCCUGUCUCUUAUAC